CCAGGGACGGGGGGCGGGGGGGGACUGCGGGCCCGAGAUGGAGCUGACAACGUGGGGUCAGUGUGGUUCUGAUGCACAGUGGGUCAUCACGAAGGAGGACACUUGCUAAAAUUAAGUUUUGAGGUUAAAGAAAUGACAGAUUCCUCGUCAGUUCUGUUCUGUGUUCUGGGGUCCGAUGUUGGGCGCAGGCCGUGGGGCCGUCUGGGCCCUACGGCAGCACAGGCAUGUCCAGCUGUGCUGCGGCUCUGAGGGUCCCAACCGUUGUCUGGAGAGGUCCCUACUCCAUCCAAGCCAGAGGAGAUGGCCCACCGUGACAUCUGUCUUCAGGUGGUGGGGCAGGAUGGGUGUAUGGGCAUCAAGAAAAGGGGCAGGGGGCAGAGCUGGAGGCCAGAGAGGGAGGACAUGCAGACAGCCGGGCUGGCAUAAAAAGGCAAGAUGAGUGGGCGUGACUGGUAAUUAUAAACUGGAUCACGAGGGUAGGGGUGCAGCUGGUGGGGGUGUGGGUGCACCAGGGGCCUGGAGUGAGCAUGCCUAACAAAGAUAUUGGGCAGCAAGAAAUGGGGCCCAAAUGGUGCAGGGAAGCCUCCAGAAGGUGUGAUGGUUGCCCUGCCCCCGUCUUCAAAACACAGCGUGACUCAGGUUGUCUCUGGGACCCCAGGCUGACAGAACCAUCCAAUCAAAUUGCAGCUCCUUCUGCCAGCAGAAUGCCCAGCGAGUAACCGCAGGUCCUGGUAUUGGGAACCUUUAUAUCUUUGGGGCAUGUGCCCCAAAUCUCCAGACAGACGAGGGGGUCCAGCGGCUGGUCCAUCCUCUGUGCCUGGACUUUGUGCUACUCCACUGCCCGCAGCGCCUGUCUCUGUCCUCGCCUCAGCCCGUCAGGAAAGGAAUAAAGUGAGACAUCAUUCCAGAGUCAAGAAGAAGAUAUGAAAAUUCUGUGCCAAUACAUUUGAUAAAAUGCACAGCUUUCUGGAAAAUACAACUUACUGAAACUGUAAGUUUAAAAAAGUUUUAAAUUUGUAAAAAUUUACAAAUUUCAUCUGUAGUUUAAAAUUUUCCCACCAAGAAAUCGAAAGGCUCAGAUGACCUCAUUAGUAAAUCCUUCUGAUCACUAGUAAAAUAUUAAUGGCAAUUUUAUACACAUUCCAGAGAAUAGGAAACCUGUGUUUGGAAGCCAGAAUAGCCUUGUUGCAAAAAACCCCAAGAACUAAAUUUUGAGAAAGGAACAAUUUUCAGUAUGUUUCAUGAACAUAGAUGAAAAGAUCUUAAACGAGAUAUUAGCCAAAUCAAUCACUGUCUAAGGCAGAUAAUUGUGAGAACAAUGGCUUAAUCACAUAGGAAACCUCAGCCCCAGGUUGCCGGGCACAGAGCUGUUCUGGUGAGUAUACAACAGAGUAGGAUCCAGCAACUGAAGACAGAACGUCACAUGGUGUAGAAUUCAGGGCUGAGUCCGUUGAGUUAGGCGUCAUGUUUAAUUCAGGGAGAAACGAGAUUCAGAUGAAAUAUUAAUUUUGCACGGGUAAGGAAGAGGCAGAUCCACGACAGAUACUCUUUUCUUCUAGUCUGGCUUUAAUCUGCUGCAAGACUCAGAUUUGCUGACAAGUGCACCUCAGAAGCUUCAUUUGUGGUUGGAGGCACCAGCCCUGAGGACCUCAUCCAGCGUGGAGCCUGGGGGAAGGAAUCCACAAGCCACUCCCCACAGAGGCCAGGCCACGGGUGUCCCUCCAGAGGGAGAAGCAGAAAGGGAUUUUCACGCCUCUGAGGAAGUACAGAAGGUCUCUCCACCCUCUUCGCCCCCUGCUCACCUGGACUCACAGUAUUUGUGAGUUUGGAGGAGGCGCUGAGUACGCUGAGCAGACCCCACCCGGUCUCUCUGGGGUAACCUGUCCUUAGGUCCUUCUUUCCUUCACAGAAGACACCUGUGGCUUUCCAGUUCACCUGUGGCUGGCAGGUGCAAAGUAUUGGGCAACCCACAUGGCCCCAGAUCUAGAUCAUUCCUCCAAUUCAGAGUUAUUCUUAAUAAAGCUGAUAUUUUCA